AGGAAGGUCAACAGCAAAUAUGUGAGCCUCCGGGGUUUCCCUCCAGUCCAUCCGGGUGUUGGCAAUCGCAUUUGUUUCUUGUGGAGGGGAUGGGACAUUGGCCACAGCUCCAGUGAAGAGAGGAAACCCUCAAAUGGUCCCAGAUGUCUAAUGACCAGGGGUCAAAGACGUUGCUCCUUCGUCGUCCAAGGCUUAGUGCCAUUCUUGAUGGACUCUCUGGAUUACCAAGAAAGUCUUUACGGUAGUGAUUGAAUUUGAGAUUUUU
rnacentral:misc_RNA from 1 species